rnacentral:rRNA from 1 species
GACGAACGCUGGCGGCGUGCCUAAUACAUGCAAGUCGAGCGGACCACUUCGGUGGUCAGCGGCGGACGGGUGAGUAACACGUGGGCAACCUGCCUGUAAGACUGGGAUAACUCCGGGAAACCGGGGCUAAUACCGGAUAAUCCUUCGGACCUCAUGGUCCUAAGCUGAAAGACGGUUUUUGCCUUCACUUACAGAUUGGCCCGCGGCGCAUUAGCUAGUUGGUGAGGUAACGGCUCACCAAGGCGACGAUGCGUAGCCGACCUGAGAGGGUGAUCGGCCACACUGGGACUGAGACACGGCCCAGACUCCUACGGGAGGCAGCAGUAGGGAAUCUUCCGCAAUGGACGAAAGUCUGACGGAGCAACGCCGCGUGAGCGAAGAAGGUUUUCGGAUCGUAAAGCUCUGUUGUCAGGGAAGAACAAGUGCGAGAGUAACUGCUCGCACCUUGACGGUACCUGACCAGAAAGCCACGGCUAACUACGUGCCAGCAGCCGCGGUAA